CACAAGUUCUAGGUCUUCUAGCACCAACAGAGUCCUGAACAAAUGCCAGCUCUUCUCUCUCCUCACAUUGCUGCAUUUGUGUUUUCUAAUAGUUUCUGGACUUCGAGGAUUUCUCUUAUUUUUCUACCUGCUGAGAUGUGCUUGCAAACAUGUUUGUAAAUAUUUUUUCCAGAAAUUGAAGCUUGUUCUAGAUACAAGUCCACCAUCUUGCUGUCAUCAGGCUGAUUCCUGAAGUGGUCUUCAAAAGGGAUAACCUUAAAGAAAAAGCGACUCAAUUCUUAGGAAGAUGUCCACGGCAUCCACGGGGAUAUACAGAGGUAGGUACUAGGGCAGGUCAUGUGUGCAUAAGCACCAGCAAUGACAUGUAUGCAGAAAUAGAUGGAGUACAGGUGACUUUGGUGCUGAAUGAAGCCUGUUUGCAGGAAAUUGCCAAUCAAUGGAGAAAUAUGGCUCUGCCAGGCUCAGCGACCAGGUCAGGCUCACAGCUCUGGCUGUGUACUCAGGUGAAGUAUGGUAAACAGACUUCACCCUUUCUUCAGGCUUCCAAAUUAGAGCAUACUUGUCCAGAAGUCAAUUUCAAUACUUGGACUUUGGAUGUUCAUUAAGAACUGUGUCAUCAUUCUGCUUGGACAACUUUUGCCUUCAUUGUACAAUUUUGGGUCAGGAACUUUGACCUGAAUUGAGGGUAUUCCAGUUUUCCUUCUCAUAACCAGAAAGGAUCAACACAGGAUAAUGCUCAUAAAAAUUAGAUUUCUUGCUAAAAAAUAAUUCAAAUGCUCCAAAUACAAAGUCUUUUCCUACAAGCCAAGCUUCCAAGCAAUGACCCAGGGGUAUAAGAGCACAUUCCAAAUAAGUCCUGCUUUUACAUAAUCUAAUCUCAUUUGUUUCCCUUUUCUUCUGAAAGUAUAUGAUUCUGACUCAAAUUUCUUUCUAACAAUAUGCAUUUCAACCAUAUAAAAUCUUGAAAGAGAUUCUAACUAGUUGUGGUAUUACUAUCAACGUAGAGCCCUGGGUUUUCUAAAACCAUGGUUCAAUAACAAAGAUGAUCUAGCUAUCUUCCUUUAGAAGGUGUUGUCCAGUUCAAAACAAACUCCAUCCAGAUACAGCAGGUAGCAUGUAGACAAACCAUGCCUUCAUGGCAACUUAAAGUUCCAGGGUCCGGCUCUGACACUAAGAGAAAUUGCUUUUAGGUUCUACGCUACCUCGAUGACAUGAAAGCUAGUAAAUUUUCUAAAAAGAUCAAAUCAAUGAAGUUAGUUUCAAAGCUGCUUUGUGCAAAGGAAUGUAGAAUAACCCAUUUUAGGGUAGAUCAGAAGAAACACGAUAAAAACAGACUUCUUAAAAUCUCUCAUCUAAACUGAACCAGACCUCUAGGGUGAUCUGCCCAGCUUCCUAAUAAACUGAAACUGAAAUCAAUUACAAUCAUUUUACCUCUAUAUAUGAAUGGCUGUAGCAUGUGAGAAUGACUUCUGUAUUCACAGUUCAGUGGAGAGUUUUUAUUCCUAACUUUCUGGAACAAAGUUCACCUCUCAAAUGGCCCUGUGCUCCAAGUUUCACUCUUGGUCCCCCAACCUCGUGCCACUGUGAGCCCUCCCUAGAUGACUGUAGGUACUAUUUCAUCUGAAUGACCAUAUGUCAGCUGUUGUGUCUCAAACUAAAUCUCCCCACCCUGAUUUUGUCCCUUUGGUUGUUCCACAGGCACAUCAGACUAAACUCAACUCAUCAUCCACGUCUUCAAAACUGCCCCUCCCCUCCCCCUCAUAUGCAUUAGCUCAGUUCAUGAUACCACCAUUAGCUGACCAGGUGGUCAGACCAGAAACCUGAGAGUUACCCUGAACAGCUUCUUCCUCACCCAUCUCCCCACAUGAGUGACCCUACUCUGCUUUGUUAUCCCUUGCAUAUUUUUGUCCUUUCCCUCUCCCCUUUCUACUGUCAUUGCCUAGAAUAGCCACUCCUCACCCCUUGCCUGGUCUCCUUCCCUCUAGUCUCCCCUCCUCUACACAGAGUGACCAUAUUCAGUGCCAGCCCAAUCACGGGACCCUGCCCAGAUCUUCAUCGGCUUCCCUCAAGGAGAGAAGAAACGUCAAGCUGCUUUGCCUGGCCUAACAGAGCCUCGGUGACAUAGUCCUAUCUUUUCAUGUCCUGCCUCCUUCCACCUUGAAUUUUCUCUCUGGUAUGCCUUUGCUUUCAUGGUUCAGCCAUUUCAUUACUUUAGCAAAAUGCAUUUUAAGUAUAGUUUGGUGCCGAUACCAUCUUUACAAAAGGAUGGACUCUUCUCAGCAGGGUAAUUUAAUGAUGAGGACUUCAUUUCUUUAAAAAGCUAUCUUGCAAUAAAUAAAUAAGAUCUUUCUUUAAAAAAAAAAAAAAAGCUAUCUUGGGGGGCACCUGGGUGGCUCAGUGGGUUAAAGUCUCUGCCUUCGGCUCAGGUCAUGAUCUCAGGGUCUUGGGAUCGAGCCCCGCAUCGGGCUCUCUGCUCAGCAGGGAGCCUGCUUCCCCCUCUCUCUCUGCCUGCCUCUCUGCCUACUUGUGAUCUCUGUCUGUCAAACAAAUAAAUAAAUCUUAAAAAAAAAAAAAAGUUAUCUUGGUAAUAGGCAUUGUCUUUUUAAAGGUCUGCAAGAAUAGACACCUUUGGAAAACUUUUCUUCCUGGUCAGAGGUCACCUGUGAGGUGGUCCCAGGACCAUGAUGGUGUCCUGGAGGGCAGAAUGCAGGGCAGACCCACCAGGUCGCCCCUGCCUCUGCCGUUCCUCUCUCCUCUGGAGUCGGUGUGUCCUCUUCUUCCUUCCUCUCUCUCAAUAUUCUCACCCUGAUACUUUCUCAUCUUCUUUCCUUCCUCCUCCUCUUCUUUUUUUUUCCUUUUAAACAGAUUUAUCCCAUUCCUAUUUUAUUAUUGUAUUUAAAUUCAAUUAUCCAACACAUAAUGCAUCAUUAGUUUUGGAUGUAAUGUCCAAUGAUUCAUUAUUUGUGGUUAACACCCAGUGCUCAUCGCAUCGCGUGCCCUCCCUACGGCCCAUCACCCAGUUACCCCCCUCCCCACCCACCUCGCUUUUCACAACCCUCAGUUUAUUUCCUAGAGUCAAAAGUCUCUCAUGGUUUGUCUCUGUCUUUCUGAUUUCUUCCCAUUCAGUUUUCCCUCCCUGUCCUUGUGAUCCUCUGUGCAAUUCCUUAUAUUCCAAAUAUGAUAAUUAUCUUUUUCUGGUGGACUUAUUUCACUUAGCAUAAUCCCCUCCAGUUCCAUUAAUGUCCAUGUAAAUGGUUAAGUAUUCAGCCUUUCCUUCCUCUUCUACAGGGAUCUGCUUUCGGAGCUCGGGGAAGAUGGAUCUUCUGUGAACUUCCUGGCCCCUCUGGCAGUGGUGAGCAGAGCGACUGGAGCUGGACCACUCCACUUCCAACCUCACCGCUUUGCUCUCCCCAGUAGGUCAUCUCUCCUGGGGCUGCGGGAGAUAGGGUCAGAAGGAAAGGAAGGGCAGGGGAGAGGCAAGGCAGCCCUCUUUUCCUUGCCAUUCUGGCCCCACAAAGCCUCAGAGAGCCUGAGAGACCACAGCUGGAGAACUAAGAUACUCUUCGGGCUGUCCAUCUGAGGCUCGCCGGCCCUCCGCCCGUGCCUGCGCGUGCCUCCUCUCCCCACGGCCGCGGGCUCCAGCCAGCACCUUCCUCCUCCUCUCUCUCGUGGCGCUCACGGCGUGUCGAGGACAGCCAGGUGACUGCCCUGUUCUGUGAAUGGCGUAGCCAAGUCCGAGGACUGUCAUCCUGGGUGCUCAGGCCUCUGCUGCCACUCUCUAAACUCUAAAUAUUUCUUUUCAAAGGUGCUAAAAACUGAAAUCUGCUAGUUUGAAACUUUCUCUCUUUCAGAUACACUAAUUUUCCAUACUUUGUAUUUUGGUUAGAAUAAUAAAUUAUUCCACUUUGGAAAAAAAAAAAAACACAAAAAAACCCCUAGGGUUACCAGGGAAGAGCCAGGAAACAGGAAUAGAAACUUAGCACCUCUGUUGAUAGCAAGAAUAGCAUCAGAGUGCUUCCUGUGACCCUUAGCAAGGGUCUUCAUGGCUCCGUUUCCGUUUUCUCCUUUGUUGAGAUUAUAACCAGCUCAUCUGAAGUAAUGAAUGAGAGACUGCUUAGUAAACUGUGAAGCACCAGAUGGAUAGAGUGUGUUGUCAUUCCUUCACUGGUUGAUCACUACUGAACACAUUCUUACCAAUAAGGACUGCCUGGUCCCCGACACCCUUCUUUCCUGUCUCUUCCUCUGGAGAACCCCCAUUUAGAGAGGUCUUUGGUGUUGGUGGUUACAUAUUGAAUUGGCCAGGCCCUUCCUUCUCCGGCCACUGAGUUUGUUGGGGUAAGAUACCAAGCAUCACCAGGGCCAAACUGUAAUAAUAAGGUGAAAAGAAGUGUGUUCGAAGAAAGGACCCUUUACUUGUUACAGUCAUAUAAUUAAAGUUCCUGUAAUUAAGGUCAGGAACCUAUAAGGUUUACUGACCUUCAAACUUGCUGUUUUCCUUCAUCAAGUUCUUAAAGGUAUCUUCAUGAUGUAAUCGAACUUUCCUUCUCUCAGAAGCCAGAUUAUGUUCCAUGUGAUCUUGCUCAGUUAGAAGUGUGACUGGUUUUAAAUCAAUCUUGAAAAAGAAAAACAUGUCUCUUUCAUUACCUUGUUAAGUCAUCAGAGGACGACAUGAGUUUUGUAAAACAAAUGAUAUGUUACAUUGUUUUCUAACUCAAAGUAAAUAGAGCAUUUCUGGGUAUUUUUACACAUA